rnacentral:rRNA from 1 species
GAUGAACGCUAGCGGCAGGCCUAAUACAUGCCAGUCGAACGGGAUCCAGAUCAAAGCUUGCUUUGGUUUGGUGAGAGUGGCGCACGGGUGCGUAACGCGUGAGCAACCUACCCUUGUCAGGGGGAUAGCCCGGCGAAAGUCGGAUUAAUACCGCAUGACAUCAUUGAGAGGCAUCUUUCGAUGAUCAAAGAUUUAUCGGACAAGGAUGGGCUCGCGUGACAUUAGCUAGUUGGUAAGGUAACGGCUUACCAAGGCUACGAUGUCUAGGGGCUCUGAGAGGAGAAUCCCCCACACUGGUACUGAGACACGGACCAGACUCCUACGGGAGGCAGCAGUAAGGAAUAUUGGUCAAUGGACGGAAGUCUGAACCAGCCAUGCCGCGUGCAGGAAGACGGCCCUAUGGGUUGUAAACUGCUUUUAUACGGGAACAAACGUCGGUACGUGUACCGGUCUGAGUGUACCGUAAGAAUAAGGAUCGGCUAACUCCGUG